ensembl:lncRNA
UUUGUCCCGAAUGCGACCGGGAUUGUGCCAAAAGAGAAAAAAAAGCCUGUCCCUUUAACAUCUGCUGCGCCAGGUGAUGGGGGGGUGGUGUAGGUGGUGAUGGGGUUGCUGGUGGAGGGGGCAAAGGGAUGGGUUAUGUAUUCACCCUAUUCUACGAGGAACCAUCACUACCUGGUGGCUCACCCUCUGUUCCGCUGAAGCCAGCGACCCACGCUGCGGCUCAGCAGUAGAGAGGGAGACAGACUCGGCUGGCUCUGGGCCGGCUGCUGGCGUCAGGGUACUGGUUUGACACCUGUUGGCAGCAGCACCCUAAACCUCACAGGGUACAAUACAUGUUAAAUAAAACAGAAGAGGGAGGGUGCAGGAACACCCUAAACCUCACAGGGUACAAUACAUGUUAAAUAAACAUGGAUGUGACACAAGCUGGUCAGUGCGUGACCUUACCCUUACCUUACCUUACCUUACCUUACCUUCCCCCUCACGGCUCCCCAUUGCCCUCCUCUGUCUUUCAGUUUGGCAGUGAUUUCUGGUCCAAACCGGUUCCCCCUCCCAAGACGGGUCCUGCAGCCCCCCCCCCUGCACUGAAGCCG